rnacentral:rRNA from 1 species
AGAGUUUGAUCCUGGCUCAGAUUGAACGCUGGCGGAAUGCUUUACACAUGCAAGUCGAGCGGCAGCGCGGGGGCAACCCUGGCGGCGAGCGGCGAACGGGUGAGUAACAUAUCGGAACGUACCCCCGUCGUGGGGGGAUAACACAGCGAAAGCUGUGCUAAUACCGCAUACGACCUGAGGGUGAAAGCGGGGGAUCGCAAGACCUCGCGCGAUGGGAGCGGCCGAUAUCGGAUUAGCUAGUUGGUAGGGUAAAAGCCUACCAAGGCGACGAUCAGUAGCUGGUUUGAGAGAACGACCAGCCACACUGGAACUGAGACACGGUCCAGACUCCUACGGGAGGCAGCAGUGGGGAAUUUUGGACAAUGGGGGCAACCCUGAUCCAGCAAUGCCGCGUGAGUGAAGAAGGCCUUCGGGUUGUAAAGCUCUUUUGUCAGGGAAGAAACGGUGUUUCCUAAUACGGAAUGCUAAUGACGGUACCUGAAGAAUAAGCACCGGCUAACUACGUG